rnacentral:lncRNA from 1 species
UCAUUUUCAAAUCAACAAACAACCUAUUCCCCAAUCUAAAUAAAGGCUCUUUUUUUUAGCAAACAAUUUUAAAAAAUGAACCUUUGCUUUUUAGUAAAACAAACUACUAAAAAUAAAAUACUUCUUUCUUUUUUGAAAAUUUUGGCAGAGUUUCGAUCGUACUUGGGCAUUGAUUUUUUCCAAAACAAUCAGUUAACUCUCCAACUGCUAUUUUUCUCUUGUCUCUUUGUCUCUUUUUCUUAAUUUUCUAAUAUUUCCGAGAUUCAAAAACCGGUCAACAUGCGGGUCUGGAACAAAUAAAUGCACAGAACACAAUUAGGAUGCAUCAAGAUGGUCUUUUUUAUUUCAUGUGGCUAGCCCUAGAUGAACCCAACCCCUGUGUUGAGUACCCUAAAUCAAAAGCACAUGAUGCAGGUAAGCGUUC